UACAGAGGGGGCAAGCGUUGUUCGGAAUUACUGGGCGUAAAGGCGCGUAGGCGGCCUGUUAAGUCGAACGUGAAAUCCCCGGGCUCAACCCGGGAACUGCGUCCGAUACUGGCAGGCUUGAAUUCGGGAGAGGGAUGCGGAAUUCCAGGUGUAGCGGUGAAAUGCGUAGAUAUCUGGAGGAACACCGGUGGCGAAGGCGGCAUCCUGGACCGAGAUUGACGCUGAGGCGC
rnacentral:rRNA from 1 species